CCUACGGGUGGCAGCAGUGAGGAAUAUUGGUCAAUGGGCGAGAGCCUGAACCAGCCAAGUCGCGUGAAGGAUGACGGCCCUACGGGUUGUAAACUUCUUUUGUCAGGGAGCAAUUGGGUCCACGCGUGGGCUUAGCGAGAGUACCUGAAGAAAAAGCAUCGGCAAACUCCGUGCCAGCAGCCGCGGUAAUACGGAGGAUGCGAGCGUUAUCCGGAUUUAUUGGGUUUAAAGGGUGCGUAGGCGGAAUAUCAAGUCAGCGGUAAAAAUUCGGGGCUCAACCCCGUCGUGCCGUUGAAACUGGUGUGCUUGAGUGGGCGAGAGGUAUGCGGAAUGCGUGGUGUAGCGGUGAAAUGCAUAGAUAGCACGAAGAACUCCGAUUGCGAAGGCAGCAUACCGGCGCCCAACUGACGCUGAAGCACGAAAGCGUGGGUAUCGAACAGGAUUAGAUACCCCAGUAGUC
rnacentral:rRNA from 1 species